rnacentral:tRNA from 1 species
GUAGCGGUGGUUCAGUGGUAGAACUCUCGCCUUUCACGCAUGAGACCCAGGUUUGAUUCCCAGCUAGUGCA